AAAGUCGUAACAAGGUUUCCGUAGGUGAACCUGCGGAAGGAUCAUUAUCGAGUUUUGACCGGGUUGUAGCUGGCCUUCCGAGGCAUGUGCACGCCCUGCUCAUCCACUCUACACCUGUGCACUUACUGUGGGCUUCAGAUUGCGAGGCACGCUCUUUACCGGGCUUGCGGAGCAUAUCUGUGCCUGCGUUUAUCACAAACUCUAUAAAGUAACAGAAUGUGUAUUGCGAUGUAACACAUCUAUAUACAACUUUCAGCAACGGAUCUCUUGGCUCUCGCAUCGAUGAAGAACGCAGCGAAAUGCGAUAAGUAAUGUGAAUUGCAGAAUUCAGUGAAUCAUCGAAUCUUUGAACGCACCUUGCGCUCCUUGGUAUUCCGAGGAGCAUGCCUGUUUGAGUGUCAUGAAAUCUUCAACCUACAAGCUUUUGUGGUUUGUAGGCUUGGACUUGGAGGCUUGUCGGCCGUUAUCGGUCGGCUCCUCUUAAAUGCAUUAGCUUGGUUCCUUGCGGAUCGGCUCUCGGUGUGAUAAUGUCUACGCCGCGACCGUGAAGCGUUUGGCGAGCUUCUAACCGUCUUAUAAGACAGCUUUAUGACCUCUGACCUCAAAUCAGGUAGGACUACCCGCUGAACUUAAGCAUAUCAAUAAG
rnacentral:rRNA from 1 species